UUUUAUGGAUGAGCAAAGAAUGUGGUUUCUUGAGAUGGAAUCUACUCUUGGUGAAGAUGCUGUGAA
rnacentral:pre_miRNA from 1 species